AGUGAACGCUGGCGGUAGGCCUAACACAUGCAAGUCGAACGGCAGCACAGUAAGAGCUUGCUCUUACGGGUGGCGAGUGGCGGACGGGUGAGGAAUACAUCGGAAUCUACUUUUUCGUGGGGGAUAACGUAGGGAAACUUACGCUAAUACCGCAUACGACCUACGGGUGAAAGCAGGGGAUCUUCGGACCUUGCGCGAUUGAAUGAGCCGAUGUCGGAUUAGCUAGUUGGCGGGGUAAAGGCCCACCAAGGCGACGAUCCGUAGCUGGUCUGAGAGGAUGAUCGGCCACACUGGAACUGAGAAACGGUCCAGACUCCUACGGGAGGCAGCAGUGGGGAAUAUUGGACAAUGGGCGCAAGCCUGAUCCAGCCAUACCGCGUGGGUGAAGAAGGCCUUCGGGUUGUAAAGCCCUUUUGUUGGGAAAGAAAAGCAGCAGGUUAAUACCCCGCUGUUCUGACGGUACCCAAAGAAUAAGCACCGGCUAACUUCGUG
rnacentral:rRNA from 1 species